rnacentral:sRNA from 1 species
AGACAGUGCCUUUCAGGCAUCCUCUCCCAAAACUUCCAAGGCCCGGUCGGCAACGAUCGGGCCAUUUUUUUGCCUAAA